rnacentral:rRNA from 1 species
UGGGGAAUAUUGGGCAAUGGGGGAAACCCUGACCCAGCAACGCCGCGUGAAGGACGAAGGCCUUCGGGUUGUAAACUUCUUUGAUCAGGGACGAAACAAAUGACGGUACCUGAAGAACAAGCCACGGCUAACUACGUGCCAGCAGCCGCGGUAAUACGUAGGUGGCAAGCGUUAUCCGGAUUUACUGGGUGUAUAGGGCGUGUAGGCGGGUCUGCAAGUCGGAUGUGAAAUCCCCGGGCUUAACUCGGGCAGGGCAGUCGAAACUGCGGAGCUUGAGUACUGGAGAGGAUAGUGGAAUUCCUAGUGUAGCGGUAAAAUGCGUAGAUAUUAGGAGGAACACCAGUGGCGAAGGCGGCUAUCUGGACAGUAACUGACGCUGAGGCGCGAAAGCGUGGGGAGCAAACA